CUGCUGCCUCCCGUAGGAGUCUGGUCCGUGUCUCAGUACCAGUGUGGGGGACCUUCCUCUCAGAACCCCUACGCAUCGUCGCCUCGGUGGGCCGUUACCCCGCCGACUAGCUAAUGCGACGCAUGGCCAUCCUAUGCCGGAGUCGCCUCCUUUGACCCCCGUGGAGAUGUCUCCAAAUGGUGUUAUGCGGUAUUAGACGGAAUUUCUUCCGCUUAUCCCCCCUGCAUAGGGCAGGUUCCAUACGUGUUACUCACCCGUGCG
rnacentral:rRNA from 1 species